UACGUAGGGGGCAAGCGUUGUCCGGAUUUAUUGGGCGUAAAGAGCGUGUAGGCGGCCAGACAGGUCAGCUGUGAAAACUCGAGGCUCAACCUCGAGACGUCGGUUGAAACCGUCUGGCUAGAGUCCGGAAGAGGAGAGUGGAAUUCCAGGUGUAGCGGUGAAAUGCGUAGAUAUCUGGAGGAACACCGGUGGCGAAGGCGGCAUCCUGGACCAACACUGACACUGAGGAGCGAAAGCCAGGGGAGCAAACGGG
rnacentral:rRNA from 1 species